GACGAACGCUGGCGGCGUGCUUAACACAUGCAAGUCGUACGGUAAGGCCCUUUCGGGGGUACACGAGUGGCGAACGGGUGAGUAACACGUGAGUAACCUGCCCACAACUUUGGGAUAACGCUAGGAAACUGGUGCUAAUACUGGAUAUGUGCUCCUGCUGCAUGGUGGGGGUUGGAAAGCUCCGGCGGUUGUGGAUGGACUCGCGGCCUAUCAGCUUGUUGGUGGGGUAGUGGCCUACCAAGGCGGCGACGGGUAGCCGGCCUGAGAGGGUGACCGGCCACACUGGGACUGAGAUACGGCCCAGACUCCUACGGGAGGCAGCAGUGGGGAAGAUUGCACAAUGGGCGCAAGCCUGAUGCAGCAACGCCGCGUGCGGGAUGACGGCCUUCGGGUUGUAAACCGCGUUCAGCAGGGAAGAAGCUUUUUGUGACGGUACCUGCAGAAGAAGCACCGGCUAACUACGUG
rnacentral:rRNA from 1 species